rnacentral:tRNA from 1 species
GGUCUCGUAGUUCAACGGAUAGAACGUCGGUUUGCGGAACCGGCGAUCCAGGUUCGAUUCCUGGCGAGAUCA